AUUGAACGCUGGCGGCAGGCUUGACACAUGCAAGUCGAGCGGGGGACCGGCAGUCGCGCCGGGGUGCAGCGGCGAACGGGUGAGUAAUGCCUCGGAACCUGCCCCGUAGUGGGGGAUAACACUUGGAAACGCGCGCUAAUACCGCAUACGUCCUGAGGGAGAAAGCGGGGGAUCGUAAGACCUCACGCCAUCCGAUGAGCCGAGGUCAGAUUAGCUAGUUGGUGGGGUAAAGGCCUACCAAGGCGACGAUCCGUAACUGGUCUGAGAGGAUGAUCAGGCACCCUGUCACUGAGCCACCGCCCACACUCCUACGGGAGGCAGCCGUGGGGACUCUUGGACCAUGGGCGUACUCCUGAUCUAGCCAUGCCGCGUGUGUGAAGACGGUCUUCGGCUUGUAAAGCACUUUUGGCUGGAAAGAACGGGUGUGAGUUAAAGUGUUCCGGUUAUGACGUUCCCAACAGACUAAGCCCCGGCUAACUACGUG
rnacentral:rRNA from 1 species